rnacentral:rRNA from 1 species
AGAGUUUGAUCCUGGCUCAGGAUGAACGCUGGCGGCGUGCUUAACACAUGCAAGUCGAACGGACUUUACAUGAAGCCUAGCGAAUGUAAAGUUAGUGGCGGACGGGUGAGUAACGCGUGGGUAACCUGCCAUAUACAGGGGGAUAACACUUAGAAAUAGGUGCUAAUACCGCAUAAGCGCACGGUUUCGCAUGAAACAGUGUGAAAAACUCCGGUGGUAUAUGAUGGACCCGCGUCUGAUUAGCUGGUUGGUGAGGUAACGGCCCACCAAGGCGACGAUCAGUAGCCGGCCUGAGAGGGUGAACGGCCACAUUGGGACUGAGACACGGCCCAAACUCCUACGGGAGGCAGCAGUGGGGAAUAUUGCACAAUGGGGGAAACCCUGAUGCAGCGACGCCGCGUGAGUGAAGAAGUAUUUCGGUACGUAAAGCUCUAUCAGCAGGGAAGAAAAUGACGGUACCUGACUAAGAAGCCCCCGGCUAACUACGUGCCAGCAGCCGCGGU